rnacentral:rRNA from 1 species
GCCUGAGAGGGCACACGGCCACACUGGCACUGAAACACGGGCCAGACUCCUACGGGAGGCAGCAGUGGGGAAUCUUGCACAAUGGGGGAAACCCUGAUGCAGCGACGCCGCGUGAGCGAUGAAGCCCUUCGGGGUGUAAAGCUCUUUCGGCAGGGAAGAUUAUGACGGUACCCGCAGAAGCAGCUGCGGCUAACUACGUGCCAGCAGCCGCGGUAAUACGUAGGCAGCAAGCGUUGUUCGGAGUUACUGGGCGUAAAGGGUGUGUAGGCGGCUCUCUAAGUUUGGUGUGAAAUCUCCCGGCUCAACCGGGAGGGUGCGCCGAAUACUGAAGGGCUAGAGUACGGGAGAGGAAAGUGGAAUUCCUGGUGUAGCGGUGAAAUGCGUAGAUAUCAGGAGGAACACCGGUGGUGUAGACGGCUUUCUGGACCGUAACUGACGCUGAGACACGAAAGCGUGGGUAGCAAACAGGAUUAGAUACCCUGGUAGUCCACGCCCUAAACGAUGCAUAUUUGGUGUGGGUCAUUCAGUUGAUCCGUGCCGGAGCUAACGCGUUAAAUAUGCCGCCUGGGGAGUACAGUCGCAAGGCUGAAACUCAAAGGAAUGACGG